rnacentral:rRNA from 1 species
UGGGGAAUUUUGGACAAUGGGCGAAAGCCUGAUCCAGCAAUGCCGCGUGUGUGAAGAAGGCCUUCGGGUUGUAAAGCACUUUCAGCGAGGAGGAAGGUGGUGGACUUAAUACGUUCAUCAAUUGACGUUACUCGCAGAAGAAGCACCGGCUAACUCCGUGCCAGCAGCCGCGGUAAUACGGAGGGUGCAAGCGUUAAUCGGAAUUACUGGGCGUAAAGCGCACGCAGGCGGUUUGUUAAGUCAGAUGUGAAAUCCCCGGGCUCAACCUGGGAACUGCAUUUGAAACUGGCAAGCUAGAGUCUCGUAGAGGGGGGUAGAAUUCCAGGUGUAGCGGUGAAAUGCGUAGAGAUCUGGAGGAAUACCGGUGGCGAAGGCGGCCCCCUGGANGAAGACUGACGCUCAGGUGCGAAAGCGUGGGGAGCAAACAGAUUAGNUACCCUGGUAGUCCACGCUGU